rnacentral:lncRNA from 1 species
UCGAAUAAUCUCACAAAAAAGGAAACAAAUAUUUCGGCGACUUUUGUUAGCAGGUAUACUCGAAUGACCAUUAGGAAAAAAGCGAAACAUCAAUAUCAAGGUAAUCAAUUUUACAUUUAUUGUACCUAAUAUAUCUGCACUGUGUGGUGUGAUCUAAUUUUGUUGAAAAUAUUGACAAAAAAAAGUAGGCACGUAAAACAUCUCUAAUUAUUAUCAAUUUCUAAUAAAACAACGUUUUUCUAUUGCAACGAAAGUCCUUUCAAAGUCCGAACCAAUGACAAGGUUUAUAAAAAAAUAAAUCAGCGCUUUUAUGAAAAGAUGUUUUCAAUGAACAUAAUAAAAGAGGAACGAAAGAUACAAGAGGGACAGUCAAACUCAUAAAUCGAAAAUAAACUGACAACACCAUGGCUAAAAAUAAAAAGUUCAAACAGACAAACAAUAGUACACAUGAUACAACAUAGAAAACUAAAGAAUAAACAACACGAACCGCAUUUAUAAUUAUACCUUCACAUUUCACACAAUUAGUUGUUAACCCAUUCGAACAAAAAGAACUGCAUUCUUAGCUGUUUAUUAUUUUGAACAAAAGCCUAAUGAAAAAAUUAUAAAGUAUGCACUGUUUUCUAUUAUACAUUGAUAACUUACUUCAUCAAUUUACAAUUAUUGACUUAGUUUUAUUAUUAAUUUCAGAAAAAAAUGAUCAUCUUGUCGAAUAAUCUCACAAAAGUAGAAGCAAAAAUUUCGGCGACUUUUUUAACAGGUAUAUUCAAAUGACCGUUAGAAAAAAGCGGAACAUCAAUAUUAUGGUAAUCAACUUUACGUUUAUUCUACCUAACAUAACGGCACUGUGUGUUGUGAUUUAAUUUUGUUGAAAAAAUUGACAAAAAAAAAAUUAGCACGUAAAACAUCUGAUAAAUAAGCAAUAUCGAAUAAAACAACGUUUCUCUAUUGCAAGAAAAGUGUUUCACAAGUUGAAACUAGGGACAAAGUGUGAAGAAAUACAAAACAGCGCUUUUAUGAAAAGACGUUUUCAAAGAAUAUCACAAUUAUACAAUCACAUUUCACACAAUAAGUUGUUAACCCAUUUGAACAACUAUAACUGCAUUCUUAGUUGUUGAUAAUUUUUGUAAAAAAAAAAUGGCCGAAAAAGGUAUAAAGUGCGCACUGUUUUUUUUUUACCUUAUACAUUAAUUACCUACUUCAUCUAUAAAUAAUUAUUGUAUACUUUUUAUUUUCAUUAUCAGAAGAAUUUUCAAACUCGUGGAAUAAUAUCUGAAAAGAGGAAGCAAAAAUUUCGACGACUUCUUUUUAGCAGGAAUAUUCGAAUGACCGUUAGAAAAAAAGAGAAACAUCAAUAUCAAGAUAAUCAAUUGUACAAUAACUCUAACUAAUAUAACGGCACUGUGUGGUGUGGUAUAAUUUGGUGAAAAUAUUGACUGACAAAAGUGGGCACGUAACACAUCUCAUCAAUAAGCAAUUUCCAAUAAAUCAACAUUUUUAUUUUGCAAGGAAAGUCCUUACUAAGUCAACCAAAGUGACAAAGUUUGCAGAAAAAUAAAUCAGGGCUUUUCUGAAAAGCUGUUUUCAUUGAAGAUACAUGUAGCAAUUAUACAGUAUUCUGCCAUAAGUAUUCGUAAAAACAACAAUUGCGGUCACGUCAUGGAAGGUUAAACAAGUUUUGGCCGUCGUCUCCAUGUCACAAUCUGGAUGACCGUGAAUCUAAAUUUAAAUAUAAAUUGAUCUGUAGAAAAACAUGUGGUUGUCAUGUGACACGUGCAUGAUGGCAUCAACCUUGUCUUGUAAAUAAAAUGGGUCGAAGGGGAAAAGAACUGACAUCUUAUCAGAAAAGGGAUUUCGCUGCAUUAAAUGAUGCAGGUUACCGAAAAAGUGAAAUAGUCAGACUGACCGGCAUUACACAAAGACCCGUUGACAUUUUUUGAAGAGGUAUGAACAUCGCGGUGAUAUAGAAAACAUACGGAGAUGCAGCAGACCUAAAUCCUUUCAUGACCGGUAUAUGAGAAAAUUUUCCCGUCCCGUAAAAAAAUAUCGCCAUGAAGGUUUAGCUGAAAUUACAAAUAAUUUUAAUGAGAACAUUGAUAGACCUUUCUCUAAAAGAACUGUUGAAUGUAAAAUACAUUUUGAUUGAUUCUGCACGCGGUCAGUUUAAAAAAAAAUAUCGUAUAUGUGAGAUCAAUUAGAAAAAACGAGUGGCAUACUGUAUAGGAAAUCUACAUAAAAGAGGAAAUGUUCACUGGAGUACAUGGAUAUUCAACGAUAAGUGAAAGGUAGUCAUACGGCAAAAUUCUUCACCCAAUGUCUAGAGAAGGUCGGGGAAGAGUGGUUGAUGGAUUGUAUUUUCCUUCCGUCUCAGCGCAACUAUUGUUUGAUGAUCUGGGGGUGUAUUAAUUACAAUGACGUGGGAAUUAUAACUGUCAUUGACGGGAACAUAAAUGCCUUAAAAUACUUUGACAUAAUUGACAACAAAGUGUGGUCAAUGAUUGUUAAAUUCAGAAGAGUUUUUAAACUCGACGUCGAUUAUCUCACAAAAAAGGAAACAAAUAUUUCGGCGACUUUUGUUUGCAGGUAUAUUCGAAUGACCAUUAGGAAAAAAGCGAAACAUCAAUAUCAAGGUAAUCAAUUUUACAUUUAUUGUAACUUAUAUAUCGGCACUGUGUGGUGUGGUCUAAUUUUGUUGAAAAUAUUGACAAAAAAAAUUAGGCACGUAAAACUAUGGAACGCCACAGCUGGCUUAUGUGGAACUCUGAUAUUACUUUAUGUUGUUUUACUAUUACUUAAUGAUAUUUUGUCUUUACUUAAUAUGGUUUUGACAUUACUUAAUGAAGUUUUGAUAUUACACGUUAUGAUUUCGUAUUGACUUGAUAUCAUUUUGUAAUUACUCAAUAUGGUUUUGUCAUUUCUCAAUAUGGUUUUGUCACUACUCGAUGUGGUUGUGUCAUUAGUCAAUAUGGUUUGAACAUUACUUGAUGUGAAUAUGACUUAACGUUAUGUAGUUGUUUCAUUACAUGAUGUGGUUUUGUUAUUUCGUAAUGAUGAUUUGCCUAUUCUUUAUAUGGUUUUAACAUUACGUGAUGAUGUUAUAAAAUUUGACGAUUCUACACUACUUGAUGUGUUUAAUUCAUUAUUUGAAAAGAUGUUUUCAAUGAACAUAAUAAAAGAGGAACGAAAGAUACAAGAGGGACAGUCAAACUCAUAAAUCGAAAAUAAACUGACAACACCAUGGCUAAAAAUAAAAAGUUCAAACAGACAAACAAUAGUACACAUGAUACAACAUAGAAAACUAAAGAAUAAACAACACGAACCGCAUUUAUAAUUAUACCUUCACAUUUCACACAAUUAGUUGUUAGCCCAUUCGAACAAAAAGAACUGCAUUGUUAGCUGUUCAUUAUUUUGAACAAAAGCCUAAUGAAAAAAUUAUAAAGUAUGCACCGUUUUCUAUUAUACAUUGAUAACUUAUUUCAUCAAUUUACAAUUAUUGACUUAGUUUUAUUGUUAAUUUCAGAAAAAAAGUUUCAAACUUGUCGAAUAAUCUCACAAAAGUAGAAGCAAAAAUUUCGGCGACUUUUUUAACAGGUAUAUUCAAAUGACCGUUAGAAAAAAGCGGGACAUCAAUAUCAUGAUAAUCAACUUUACAUUUAUUCUACCUAACAUAACGGCACUGUGUGUUGUGAUUUAAUUUUGUUGAAAAAUUGACGAAAAAAAAAAUACGUACGUAAAACAUCUGAUCAAUAAGCAAUAUCGAAUUAAGCAACGUUUUUCUAUUGCAAGAAAAGUGUUUCAAAAGUUGAAACUAGGGACAAAGUGUGAAGAAAUACAAAUCAGCGCUGUUAUGAAAAGACGUUUUCAAAGAAUAUCACAAUUAUACAAUCACAUUUCACAAAAUAAGUUGCUAAACUCAUUCGAACAACUAUAACUGCAUUCUUAGUUGUUGAUAAUUUUUUGUAAAAAAAAAUAACCGAAAAAGUUAUAAAGUGCGCACUGUUUUUUUUUACCUUAUACAUUGAUUACUUACUUCAUCUAUAAACAAUUAUUGUAUACUUUUUAUUUUUAAUUUCAGAAUAAUUUUCAAACUCGUCGAAUAAUAUCUGAAAAGAGGAAGCUAACAUUUCGACGACUUCUUUUUAGCAGGAAUAUUCGAAUGACCGUUAGUAAAAAAGCAAAACAUCAAUAUCAAGAUAAUCAAUUGUACAAUAACUCUAACUAAUAUAACGGCACUGUGUGGGUGGUAUAAUUUUGUUGGAAACUAUUGACUGAAAAAAGUGGGCCCGUAACACAUCUCAUCAAUAAGCAAUUUCCAAUAAAACAACAUUUUUAUUUUGCAAAGAAAGUCCUUACUAAGUCAACCUAAGUGACAAAGUUUGCAGAAAAAUAAAUCAGGGCUUUUAUGUAAAGCUGUUUUAAUUGAACAUAAAUGUACCAUUUAUACAGUAUUCAGCCUUAAGUAUUUGUAAAAACAACAAUUUGCGUCGUCUCCAUGUCACAAUCGGUAUAACAGUGAAUCUAAAUUUAAAUGUAGAAAAACAUGUGGUUGUCAUGUGACACGUGCGUGAUGGCAUCAACCUUGUCUUGUAAACAAAAUGGGUCGAAGGGGAAAAGAACUGAUAUCUUAUCAGAAAAGUGAUUUCGCUGCAUUAAAUGAUGCAGGUUACCGAAAAAGUGAAAUAGUCAGACUGACCGGCAUUAAACAAAGACCCGUUGAUAUAUUUUUAAAGAGGUAUGAACAUCGCGGUGAUAUAGAAAACAUACGGAGAUGCAGCAGACCUAAAUCCUUUCAUGACCGGUAUAUGANAAAAU